UGUAAGCGUAUACCAAAGUGGUUGCAGUUAAAACGCUCGUAGUCGGAAUUUGGCAGUUCCGGAUGUGUGCACGUCGUGUGCGCACUUCGCGGGGAUUGCUUUUGUGGUCUUGCGUAGGAUGAGGCACUUUUAUUAGUGAACGUCCUCACGCAACCACUUUUUACUGUGAGAAAAUCAGAGUGCUCAAAGCAGGCAUUUGCCGUGAAUGUAUUAGCAUGGAAUAAUAGAAUAGGACUUGGUUCUAUUUUGUUGGUUUGUUGGGACUGAGUAAUGAUUAAGAGGGACAGUUGGGGGCAUUUGUAUUUCGGUGCUAGAGGUGAAAUUCUUAGAUUACCGAAAGACAAACUGCUGCGAAAGCGUCUGCCAAGGAUGUUUUCAUUGA
rnacentral:rRNA from 1 species